AUAGAUGUCGGAUCACGACAGAUAUUGUUAGAAUGUUGAGUUCAUAGUUCUCUCAAUAGGCAUAUUCUCACCUUUAUCUCACCAAGCACCAGCUAUUCUUGGCUUGCAGAUUUGUCUCCUUACGUACCCUCAUCAUCAAGCAAUGGGAAAAGGAAAAGCAGGAUCUAGUUUGCAAGUGUUUUUGAUAAUAGUAGAUGUGUUUUGUUGUAAUAAAUUGUAUUAUUAACUUGCCCUCAAAAUAAUAGAAGCGUCAUUUGUCUUUGAAUUAUUUAAAGAUGGAUGUAUAGUCUGUUUUGAAUCGGCAAUAGAUUUUUAUCUAUCAUAAAACCUGAUAGCAAUUGUGAUCUAUUUUACCAUUCCUUCUGUAUGCUACGGUCUUUUUCUCUA
rnacentral:lncRNA from 7 species